rnacentral:rRNA from 1 species
UACGUAGGGUCCGAGCGUUGUCCGGAAUUACUGGGCGUAAAGCGUGCGCAGGCGGUUCGUCGUGUCCGAUGUGAAAGCCCCGGGCUCAACCUGGGAAUGGCAUUGGAAACUGGCGGACUCGAGUGUGGCAGAGGGGGGUGGAAUUCCGCGUGUAGCAGUGAAAUGCGUAGAGAUGCGGAGGAACACCGAUGGCGAAGGCAGCCCCCUGGGCUAACACUGACGCUCAGGCACGAAAGCGUGGGGAGCAAACAGG